rnacentral:rRNA from 1 species
UAGCUUUAAGUAGAAUUAAAUCAAUUUAAAGUUUCACCUGCCCUGUGAUUUAAUUUAACGGCCGCAGUACUUUGACUGUGCUAAGGUAGCAUAAUAAAUUGGCCUUUAAUUGGGGUCGAGUAUGAAAGGGAUUAUGGGGAAAUGCUGUCUCUUAUAAAUUACAUAAAAUUUACUUAAUAGGUGAAAAUACCUAUGAUUUUAUUUAAGACGAGAAGACCCUAAGAAUUAUAAUUAAAGGGAUUUUUGUCCUUCAUUUUUGUUGGGGCAACAUUGUUAGGAAUUAAACCAACAUUGAUAAAAUUUUUACAUGUCUAUUAUAAUUAGAAAGGUUUUAAUUACCUUAGGGAUAACAGCAUAAUUAUAUCUAUAGAUUGUGACCUCGAUGUUGGACUAGGGACUUUAGUUAUUAGCCAUUACUAAAGAUAGUUCUGUUCGAACUGUAAUACCCU